AGCGGCAGAAUUGGAUAAGGAAGAUAGCCAAGCGGCUGUAUGUUGUAAGAACCAGGCAAAAUUAGAGGUUUGAUAGCAGCGAAACACAGACAAGAAACAAACUUCAAACCGGCAGAAACAUCAACCUUUGCUCGAUGAAAUUAUCAGGAGAAAAGCCAAAGAGGAAAGAAAGAAAAAUUUAGAGGUGGAAAUGGAUAAGGAACAUAGUGAGGCGACUCUCUAUAAUUGGAUUAAAGAAGAGAAGCUGAGGCAGUGAGAGUUAUAAUUCAUCAGAAUUAUGAUAAUAUCUUUUUUUUUCCUCAAACAGACAUGUCGACGAUGCCAUGUUUCCUUGAGCAGCCACACCUUAUUGUAUAGUAGAAAGAGGGAGUUUUGGAACGACCAGUGGAAAAUCCGUAAUUAAGCACAAUAUGCAUGGGUAAAUAUUAAUAACUAUAAAAUAUCUACUAUUAUCAACAUCAUUGUGAAAACCUCCAUUACACUUUCAUUCUUCUUCUUCUUCUGUUUCCCCCUUUCUUCUACUGCCACUACAGUGAAUAAUAAUUUUGUUUUAGGUGAAGCAGUGAAAGCUUGGAGUAUGUGAAAAGUAGUGGACUGAUUUUGGAUUCUCUCCAUCUUCCUGAAUUUCUAUUUUCUAAUGGAAGAAGAUUUAAUUCGACUUUCGAUUCUUGCGUCUCUAAUUAGCUAUCAUUGAUUGAGUUAUAAGAUCUGUAGGAUUUUGUUUUGGAUUAUAAGAAAUUGCUUUGUUGAAUCUACAAAUUUGAGGUAACAGAUCUGAUAGCCCAAAAAUCUGCAACUUUCAUCUUAUAUCCGCAAAUCAGUAGAUUUGGUGCAAAAAAUAGUUGCAAUUUCUCUUCUUUUUUUUACAGUAGAAAAGUAGGAUUUCUCUGUUUUUUGGAUGAAGAAGAAUAACAAAACUUUAUUAUUACAUCUCUUGACAAUCUUCAUAAAAACAAAGUAUCUUUACUUUUCCUAUUGUGUGUGCUUGCAGAUCUGGAAGAAACCAGAAAUAUUUUUGACCCAUUACUCAAAAAGAAAAACACCUAAUUACCGUUUUUAAAGUUGUAGUUUUUGACUGAUGUAGUAGAUGCCUCACCUGCUUAGGCACACACAGACACCACAACAACACACAGACAACAAACAAACUUCAAACCAGCAUAAGCAACAAUCUUUUGCUCCAUGAAAUUAUAAUGAGAAAAGCCAAAGAAGGAAGAAGAAAAAACUUAGCCGAGUAGAAGGGAAAAGUAUCGCACUGUGAAUGUACAUAUGUACAAGAUAUGUACAUAUUUGUAUUUUCAUCAUAAAAAUAUGUACAAAAUCGCACUGUGAAUGAGCACCUAAACAAAAUAGAAUAGGAAGCAAUAAAUAAGGUAUCGCUAAAUUGGUCCUUACUUAAAAAUAUAAUAGUGCAGAAAUUUGGUCCCCAACACUACAAAUUCAUUCCUUUUUGGCUUUAUUUAUUCAACACAAGGUAAAUACAUUGCAUAUUUACUCAUUCCUUUUUGCGAAACCCUUUUUUUAUGUGUCUAAUUGAAUUGGUUGUUCUGAGAAGAAUUAUAUUCAGAUCUGGUUGAUUCUACAUAGUUGGGCUUUGUGGAUUUUGUUCUCUAGCAGAAGAAAGGCAAAAAGAGCAGCAAAGGCAAUUUCGUAGAUUUUCAAAUAAAAUUACGAUGCAAUUACCUCAAUAGCAGCAAAACACAAACAAGGAAACAACUUCACAUCCACAGAAGCACCAAUCUUUACUCGAUCGAAAAGCCGAAGAAGAAACAACGAAAGAGUUAGCGGCACCAAUCUUUGGUCGAUCGAAAAGCCGAACAAGGAACAACGAAAGAUGAAAUAAAAUUACGAUGCAAUUCCUUGAUAGCAGCAAAACACAAAGAAGGAAAGAACUUCAAAUCCGCAGAAACACCAAUCUUUGGUCGAUCAAAAAGCCGAACAGGGAAUAACGAGCGGCAGAAUUGGAUAAGGAAGAUAGCCAAGCGGCUGUAUGUUGUAAGAACCAGGCAAAAUUAGAGGUUUGAUAGCAGCGAAACACAGACAAGAAACAAACUUCAAACCGGCAGAAACAUCAACCUUUGCUCGAUGAAAUUAUCAGGAGAAAAGCCAAAGAGGAAAGAAAGAAAAAUUUAGAGGUGGAAAUGGAUAAGGAACAUAGUGAGGCGACUCUCUAUAAUUGGAUUAAAGAAGAGAAGCUGAGGCAGUGAGAGUUAUA
rnacentral:lncRNA from 1 species